GGAGGAUCCGAGCGUUAUCCGGAUUUAUUGGGUGUAAAGGGAGCGUAGACGGCUGCGCAAGUCUGAAGUGAAAGCCCGGGGCUCAACCCCGGGACUGCUUUGGAAACUGUGUAGCUAGAGUGCUGGAGAGGCAAGCGGAAUUCCUAGUGUAGCGGUGAAAUGCGUAGAUAUUAGGAAGAACACCAGUGGCGAAGGCGGCUUGCUGGACAGUAACUGACGUUGAGGCUCGAAAGCGUGGGGAGC
rnacentral:rRNA from 1 species